rfam:Xanthomonas campestris pv. campestris str. ATCC 33913, complete genome.
AUGUACCCCCAUACACUCCGGGUGCUCCGCGCCGGCCGCACCCACCUGACAACUUGCUCGCUACGUUUCGGUAGCC